UACAUGGGGUGCAAACGUUGCUCGGAAUUAUUGGGCGUAAAGCGCACGUAGGUGGUCUGUUAAGUGCAGGGUGAAAGCUCCCGGCUCAACUGGGAGAGGUCCUUGCAUACUGGCGGACUUGAGGGGGGUAGAGGAAAGUGGAAUUCCCGGUGUAGUGGUGAUAUGCGUAGAUAUCGGGAGGAACACCUGUGGCGAAGGCGGCUUUCUGGGCCCUACCUGACGCUGAGACGCGAAAGCGUGGGGAGCGAACCGG
rnacentral:rRNA from 1 species